UCCCCUCAAACCCUGUCGUUCCCGGGAAGCUCCCAGAGGUGGCUGAGGCCACGCCCCUGCUCAUGAACGGCAGCAUCCAGACCCGGAAAGGACCUCGUUUCAGCCUGGCACCUCCCAAGAAGAGGCCUCCCAGGCUCAGAGAUGUUAAGGAACUUGCUUGGGGGUCACAUGGUGAGUAAGUGGCCCAGCCACGACUGAAGUCCAGGUCAGCCUGACCUCAAAGUCUGUGCUGAGACAUUAUGCCACCGUCCCUCCAGGGCUACCGUCAUUCCACCAAUGCUUACUGAGCCUGACUCCUUGUAAGUGACCAAGGAUACAGCGAUGAGAAACACACAGCCCUGCCCUGCAGAGGCUCAGAGUGCAGUGAGGACAAGACAUGAGAACCAUUGAGCACGAUGUGCCCGAGGGAGCUGUGGGGACACUGAGAAGGAACUCCUCACCCAGAUGGGGGCUGUUCCCAUUUUCUUCCUGCCCACAAGCCACCAGGUGACCCCUGAAAGGCUUCGAGACCAUAGGACCCUGCCUGGAGUGACUUGUGUGUGUGCUCCUGGGGAAGGGGACCAGUCUCUCUCCUAUGAGGGUGGGAGCCUCCACUUUGGUGUGUGGCCCCUGAGGAAGAAGUGAACGUGAAGACAUGAAGGCGGCAUUGGCCGCAGCCUGAAGUUCUUGGGUGGCCGCAGGCUCAUCCUAGCAAAGAACCCUAUAAACAGGGCAAGGCUGUCGGGCUCCUGAAAUGGGCCUGCCCUGUUAGCAAAUGCCUGCCGUAGUGGAGUUCCCUCCGGGACCUCUGCGGAAAGGGCACCCGCAGCCUCUUUGUGUGAACUUCAGGCAGGCAUGUCUGUAGGGCGUGGGGAUGGACCCCUGGAUCACAGUCUUCCCAGGACCUGUCCUCAGAAGGAACUCCCGUUCCAUCAGGCCCCCUCCCUCUCACCCUCUUGGCUCCCACCUAAUCUGUGUGCCUCUGCAGUGCUGAGCCCAGUGGGCUGCCUACCCCAGGGGUGCAGGCAAAAUGUUGAAAAAGCUGGUAAAGAAUAUGGGCAGGGUGGGAAGAGAUGAAACAGAAUUGACCUCGAGUUGGUGAAGCUGACUAACAGGUGCACAGGAGUUCAUGAUGUUCUAUGUUUCACGUGUAUUUAUGACAUUUUUAAUAAUCAAAUGACAGAAGAAAA